CAGCAAAAGCAUCACACAGACAGACCAACCCUUUGUCUCCCCCGCUCCCCCCCCCCCCCCCCCCCCCGCUUCCAGAUUUGAAAGUACCUUGUUCUCUCAUUGGUCAUGUUAGGUCAGGUGCCAGCUCGGUUACCUUAGCUUCUUAUCCCUUUACAGGUGAAAGGGUUUUGCCUCUGGCCAGGAGGGAUUUUAUAUCACUGUAUACAGAAAGGUGGUUACCCUUUCCUUUAUAUUUAUGACACAGGCUAAUAUGGCUACCCCUGAUACUUGACCUCUUAUCCAUGCAUUCUAGUAGAUUUCCUGAGCAUGCCCCUUAUUUUCUUGUAUGAUUUUGUUGACUUGGAUCACAGUGUAUCAUUCCUGAACUGCUGUCUUCCAGCUACCAGUAGUGUACGUCUUGCAUUUUGUAUUAUGUUUUACGUUGUAAGAACACUUGAAUUUAGAUAAGCACAAGUUACUUUACUAAGUUAAAGGGACACUGUCAGCUUGAAUUUAUGAGAUAGGGGCUCCAGGCAGGGGUUGUGGGAAGAGGAGACGCCCUUCUGGUUUCAAACCUCAGAAACAGUAGCAGUUCUGCCAUCCUGUUACUAGUAAACAUCCUCUUUCAGGCCCUAGGGCUGAGUGAACAUGAGCUCUCUGAGUGGAGUGCUAAGGUGAAGUCACGCUAGUGCGGGACAUGGGGUGGUAUAUUUGCAGUGUUAUAGCUAUGUAGCUCUGCUAGUCUUAGAAUAUUAGAGAGGUGUGGGUGAAGGAAUAUCUUUUCUUGGUACAACUUCUGUUGGUGAAAGACCAUUCUUUUUCAGGGAAAGGUAGAGUGUCACAACUAAAUACAAGGGUGGAACAGAUCUGAAGUUAAUGUAUGUUGCAAGAGACCAUUCAGGGCGAAGUGGAGUAGAUAAGCUGCUGGCAAUCAACAUCACAGUGCAAGUGGGUAAAUGCACAAAGAUAGGAACAACUUAAACUUAAACUAUAACCAGUUACAGUAACAUUAGGUGUCACAAGUAACUAGUAAUAGAAGAAUUAGUGUGUCCUUCAAACAAGUCUCUCUCUCAAAAAAAAAAAAAAAAAAAUUGGCAGCCCUGUUGUUUCUGUA